rnacentral:rRNA from 1 species
AAUAUUCCCGAACCUAGUCAUGGAAAUAGCCUAUUCUUCGGAGUAGGCAAAUGCGGUAACGCAAAUCAGCUAAGAGAUGCUGCCAUAAGUCCUGGGGAGAGUUGUCUUUUCUUUGUAAGGAUCCAAGUCCCUGGAAUCGGUUUGACCGGAGAUAGGGAUGUAGGAACCGUAAAGCACCGCGGCUCUUGCGGUGUCCAGAGCGCUUAUGGUGGCCCUUGAAAAUCUUAGCUGGAGAUGAUUAUUUUCAUGCUAGACCGUACCCAUAUCCGCAGCAGGUCUCCAAGGUGAACAGCCUCUGGUCUCUAGAAUAAUGUAGAUAAGGGAAGUCGGCAAAGCAGAUCCGUAACUUCGGGAUAAGGAUUGGCUCUGAAGACUGAGCUGGUCGGGCUGAGGUCUGAAGCAAGUUAUGCAUUGCGCCGAGACUGGGUGCGGAAGGCAUAGUCUGAUGUGUUGGUGAGGCGAGAUGUGUUUAUCCUUUCGGGUAGCAUGUCUUUGCUUUUGCCUUCAUACUUGGGCUGUGUUGGACAAUCCUGGACUCGAGUCUUUGCGAUCUUGUCGAUAGUCUCAGCUAGGCCCUUUCAGGAAGAUUGGCUCGCAAGGGUCUUUGGACUUGGAAGGUGUUCUUUUCGGCCAGCAAAAGACAGUUGAAUCAGAACUGGCACGGACCCAGGGAAUCCGACUGUCUAAUUAAAACAAAGCAUUGCGAUGGCCGGUGAACGGUGUUGACGCAAUGUGAUUUCUGCCCAGUGCUAUGAAUGUCAAAGUGAAGAGAAAUUCAACAACCAAGCGCGGGUAAAGCGGCGGGAGUAACUAUGACUCUCUUAAGGUAGCCAAAUGCCUCGUCAUCUAAUUAGUGACGCGCAUGAAUGGAUUAACUAGAUUCCCACUGUCCCUGUCUACUAUCCAGCGAAACCACAGUCAAGGGAACGGGCUUGGCAGAAUCAGCGGGGAAAGAAGACCCUGUUGAGCUUGACUCUAGUCCGACUUUGUGAAAUGACUUGAGAGGUGUAGAUAAGCGACUCUAGUCCGACUUUGUGAAAUGACUUGAGAGGUGUAGAUAAGUGGGAGCUCAAAAGGCGAAAGUGAAAUACCACUACGUUUAACGUUAUUUUACUUAUUCCGUGAAUCGGAAGCGGGGCACUGCCCCUCUUUUUGGACCGAAGGCUCGCUUAUGCGGGUCGAUCCGGGCGGAAGACACUCAGGUGGGGAGUUUGGGCUGGGUCGGCACACCUGUUAAAAGAUAACGCAGGUUGUCCUAAGAUGAGCUCAACGAAGAACGAAAUCUCGUGUGGAACAGAAGGGUAAAAGCUCGUUUGAUUCUGAUUUCCAGUACGAAUACGAACCGUGAAGCGUGGCCUAACGAUCCUUUAGGACCUUCGGAAUUUGAACUAGAGGUGUCAGAAAAGUUACCACAGGGAUAACUUGGCCUGUGGCAGCCAAGC